CCCCCCCACGGCAUUCGACCUCCCGCAUUCUUCUCCCUUUCUCCCACAUUCUUCUCCCGACCUCCCUGCCUCCCGCAUCCCCUCUGGCUUCCUCCACCAUCCAGAGCUCUUUCACCACCGCCGCAGCCAUCGAGGUGAGUCGUGUUGAGCUUUUUUUUUUGGGGGGUUGUGUUCAAGUUGGGGAUGGGGACGGGGAAUGGUGUGGGGCUUGCAUGCCAUGGCCCCGUGCUGGGCACAGUGCCGACGUGCCAGGGAUGGUCACUUGGGUUGGGAUGGCGGUUCGCGGCUGCAUGGGGCCUACGUGCAUACAGGCC
rnacentral:lncRNA from 1 species